rnacentral:rRNA from 1 species
AGUGAACGCUGGCGGUAGGCCUAACACAUGCAAGUCGAACGGCAGCACAGUAAGAGCUUGCUCUUACGGGUGGCGAGUGGCGGACGGGUGAGGAGUACAUCGGAAUCUACUUUUUCGUGGGGGAUAACGUAGGGAAACUUACGCUAAUACCGCAUACGACCUACGGGUGAAAGCAGGGGAUCUUCGGACCUUUCGCGAUUGAAUGAGCCGGUGUCGGAUUAGCUAGUUGGCGAGGUAAAGGCCCACCAAGGCAACGAUCCGUAGCUGGUCUGAGAGGAUGAUCGGCCACACUGGAACUGAGACACGGUCCAGACUCCUACGGGAGGCAGCAGUGGGGAAUAUUGGGCAAUGGGCGCAAGCCUGAUCCAGCCAUGCCGCGUGGGUGAAGAAGGCCUUCGGGUUGUAAAGCCCUGUUAUUGGGAAAGAAAAGCAGCGGGUGAAUACCCCGCUGUUCUGACGGUACCCAAAGAAUAAGCACCGGCUAACUUCGUG